CAGAAACCACAGAAACCACAACAGUGGCAUUCACAACAGCUGAGACAACCAAUACAGAAGGAACAACGAAAGCUAUCAUCAUAGAAUCAACAACUGCAGCUUCCACAACAGCUGAGACAACCACUCCAGAAGAUACAACAACACUCGCC